CCUACGGGGAGCAGCAGUGAGGAAUAUUGGUCAAUGGACGAGAGUCUGAACCAGCCAAGUAGCGUGAAGGAUGACUGCACUAUGGGUUGUAAACUUCUUUUAUAUGGGAAUAAAACGUUCCACGUGUGGGAUUUUGUAUGUACCAUAUGACUACGGAUCGGCUAACUCCGUGCGAGCAGCCGCGGUAAUACGGAGGAUCCGAGCGUUAUCCGGAUUUAUUGGGUGUAAAGGGAGCGUAGGUGGAUUGUUAAGUCAGUUGUGAAAGUUUGCGGCUCAACCGUAAAAUUGCAGUUGAAACUGGCAGUCUUGAGUACAGUAGAGGUAGGCGGAAUUCGUGGUGUAGCGGGGAAAUGCUUAGAUAUCACGAAGAACUCCGAUUGCGAAGGCAGUUCACUGGACUGCAACUGACACUGAGGCUCGAAAGUGUGGGUGUCAAACAGGAUUAGAUACCCCAGUAGUC
rnacentral:rRNA from 1 species